UAACAAAAACAUUUAUAUUUAUAUAUCCCGAAAACAGAAGAGCUAAGAUUUUAUAUAUAUUAAUGUAAAAUAAUUAUUUAAAAUAAAAUUUUUGUAAUUAUACGUUAGUCGAGUUGGUUUAUAUCUGGUUUUUAAAGAAAUUAAUUUAAUUAAGCUUAAAUAUUGUUGUUUUUAAAUUUUAAAUUACAAUUAUAUUUAAAGUAAUAUUGAAGGGGAAAAGCUUUUUAAUAUAUUUUUAUAAUUUAAGUUUAUAAUUUUUGUUAUUGGAUUAAUGGUGUCCAUUAUUUAAAGUGUGUAAAAACUUAAAAAUAGUUUUUUAGAUUUUUUUUUUAUUUAGUUUUUUAUUUAAAAUUUCAAUUUAACAGUUCAAUUGAAGAUACAAUGAUAGAAUUAGUAUAAUUUAAUUUUUAAAAUUGUUAAAUUUAAAAGAUUAAUAAAAGGAACUAGGCAACCAGUCUUCUUGCCUGUUUAAUAAAAACAUGUCCUUUUGAUUUUAUUUAAGGUCCGGCCUGCCCACUGAUGAAUUUAAAUGGCCGCGGUAUUUUGACCGUGCAAAGGUAGCAUAAUCAUUAGUUUUUUAAUUGAAAGCUUGCAUGAACGGUCUCACAAGGAAGAAUCUGUCUCUUUUUAAUUUUCCUAGAAUUUUAUUUUUUAGUUAAAAAGCUAAAAUAUAUUUAAGGGACGAGAAGACCCUAUAGAAUUUUACAUUUAAUUAGUAUUUUUAAUUUAAGAAUUUAACUUAAUUAUAUUUUUAUUUGUUUUGCUGGGGUGGUAAGAAAAUUUAUGAAACUUUUCUUUAAAUUUAUCAUUAAUUAAUGAUUAAAUGAUCCAUAAUUUGUGAUUUUAAGACCAAAUUACCUUAGGGAUAACAGCGUAAUUAAAUUGAAGAGCUCUAAUCGAUAAUUUAGAUUGCGACCUCGAUGUUGGAUUAAAAUAAACUUUAGGCGGAGAGGCUUAAAAGUUAAGUCUGUUCGACUUUUAAAAUUUU
rnacentral:rRNA from 1 species